AUUUAAAGGCAACGAAAGUUAUUCUUGAAGAAAACAAGAUUACAAAGAGAGUUUGUGUUGUCAGACAAACUCAGAGGCGGCCCCCGUGGGAGACGGAUCACUGUCGGAUCCGCAUAUUCGCUGGUCGACUGAGGAUGGCAUCGAGCAGGGUAUGAAACCGAGACCGAGAGAUAAUCAGUUUUGCGCGCUAACCGCACGACCAGGCAUUGCUCUUAAUCUAAUGACAAACUGGUUACAAACUAAUAGCCUACUAUUGAUAAUAUAUCUACACAUUACGGAAUGACAACUACCGGAUAUGU